rnacentral:lncRNA from 1 species
GUGGUGUUUAGGAUGGAUGGGGGGUGUGGCAAAAGAGAGAAAGAUGGCUGAAAAUGUGUUUGUGAUGUAGUGUAUGAAUGUGUAGAUGGGUUUGGCCAAAAGAAUGGAUGGAGAAUGGGUGGUGUGGUGGAUUGUAUUUUUUUUGAUGUAGUGUGAUGUGUAGUGUUCUUCCCUUCACUCCCUAUUUAUUGAAGCUCCAAAGCAAAGAAUCACUCAAGUGGCUUAAUAAACAAUACACACAAAGACCAAAAUGAUGCAAAAACAGCUAGUUUACAUGCUCUUUUAUCAUUGUGUCUUGCCUUUAACAAAAGGCAAUCAUUUCUUUUGCUAAUUCAACUCCUUUGUAGCUGUCCAUGUGCUUUCAUUCUUCAAUUUCUGAUGCAUUUGCCUUGUAUUCUGAUGUGAAAAUUAUGUUGACACUCAAAUUAACCCUCUUUUUAUCAGUUGUAGCAAAGUAUGUAAGUAGGGAUCGUUCUAAACCGGGGAUUAGGAGGGAUUGCAAAAUCACUUGAAAACUGACUCAAAUAUGUAAAAACAAGUUUAAAACACUAAACUAGACUCAAAGAAUGCAAAACUAAACUUUAAAACACCAAAACAAACCAAAAGACUCAAAACAGCACCAAAACACUAAAAAUUGCCUUAAAAAACACAAUCUGGGCAGUUUUGGACACUAAGCACCAAAUUGGACGAAUUUGGGAUUUAACUUGAAUCAAAACACGUAAAAACACAAAGUAAAACACUUACUAACUAAUUUGACACUUUAAAACAAAGGGGGAUUGGUUUUGGACGAAUUUAAAACAAAACAAACUUUGUAAAUUAAACCAGAUUGUAAAAACGAAUUUGAUUUAGAUGGGUGAAUGGAAGGCUAGCUAAGGGGUUCAUCUCCACACAUGUUAUACUUGCAUACAAAACGAUUUCCAAUUGCUUUUCAAUAAACCAUGAAUUCUCAAUGCCCCAAGUUAAUUAGGUCCGCUUAAAUUAACCCUCAGAUUUUCCUAACGUUAUUGAAUUGGAUGAUUGCAUACGACAACCCAAACAUUCCCCACAAGUCCCCUACAUGAUUGCAUAAUAGAGAUACAAGCAAGAAUCAUUAAGUUCUAUGAAAACCAUAAGCAUUGACGAAGCACUUGUUACUAUGAUUGCAUGAAACUUAUGCCAAGAAUUUACUUAACGCGAUUGAGAUCAUCAACCUUUACUACUUGUGAAUAUAAUUCCAUAACGAUUAGGUGAAAUUUCCUUAUAUCCUAGCAUUCAAUUCAUGCAUGAUAAUUAAGUGUGCACUCUCAACCAACACACACAAAUCAAUGUAAUUCACAUAGAUAAGUAAAUUGAAUUCACAACUUAUGAAACGCAAUUAGAAGUAAUCAAAUCAUAACGCAAGCAUAAACAUGUAUUUCGAAUCCCCCCCUAACCAAGGGGGGGGUUUAGUUCCUCAUACGCACAAAACAAAGAGAAUUGAAUUUAAACAUUGAAAUCAAAGGAAAAGA